rnacentral:lncRNA from 1 species
ACAGUAUUACGUGGUUGCUUGAAUUGGGACACAACUGAAUGAUAAUUAUUCAAAUUAAAAAUAUAUAUUUUUUUUUUAAAUGCCUCUGGAAUUUAAGAAAAGAGAAUAGUUCUAAGUUGAAACAUUUGUUUCACUGAACGGGCAAACUACAUAAUGCGAUAAUUGGAAUUUUAGAAAAAUGUUAGUUUACGCGAACAGAUAGUAUAGUGUGUGAGUACAUUUGAAAUUCAACUACUAGUAAUUUGUUUACGUGUGCGUCAAAUUCUGAAAAUAACAUGAGAUAUCCGAAAAUUUAGUAAAUUUAUGAAUGUAUACAUGUAUAUAGAAAAUAUAAUAAAAAAGCACUAUAUAUUUUUUAGAGCAAAGUCUUG